rnacentral:tRNA from 3 species
AGCGGGGUGGGGAAGCCAGGAAUCCCGCGGGGCUCAUAACCCCGAGGUCGGUGGUUCAAGUCCACCCCCCGCUACCA